CACAAGCGGUGGAGUAUGUUGGUUUAAUUCGAUGCAACGCGAAGAACUUACCUGGUCUUGACAUCCCGGAGACCCUUAGGAAACUAGGGGGUGCUUCCAUCUGGAAGAAUCUGGAGACAGGUGCUGCAUGGCUGUCGUCAGCUCGUGUCGUGAGAUGUUGGGUUAAGUCCCGCAACGAGCGCAACCCUUGCCUUUAGUUGCCAGCAGUUCGGCUGGGCACUCUAAAGGGACUGCCGGUGUUAAACCGGAGGAAGGUGGGGAUGACGUCAAGUCCUCAUGGCCUUUAUGACCAGGGCUACACACGUACUACAAUGGCCGAUACAAAGGGCAGCGACACUGCGAGGUGAAGCCAAUCCCGUAAAAUCGGUCUCAGUCCGGAUUGGAGUCUGCAACUCGACUCCAUGAAGUUGGAAUCGCUAGUAAUCGUGGAUCAGCAUGCCACGGUGAAUACGUUCCCGGGCCUU
rnacentral:rRNA from 1 species